rnacentral:antisense_RNA from 1 species
UUUCGCAUUGGGUUUACGCGCCACAAUUCCGUUACCUACCGCAUGUAAAAGGUGCGUUUUACCCAGGCCGGUGCCGCCAUA